rnacentral:lncRNA from 1 species
ACCGACCCAGAUCUGAUUGUGGUUCAGGUCCAACUGAACCGGACUCCACCUCUCCACCUGUCCUCUUACUCCUCCUCUUCCUCCUGUCCUCCUGCUUUCCUCCUUCUCUCCUCCCGUCCUCUCCUGGUUUCUCCGCCUCUCCCCCUCUCCUCCACCUGCUCUCCUCCUGUCCUCGUUCUCCUCUCCUCCUGUUUUCCUCCUGCUCCCCUCCUGUCCUCCUCUCCUCCACCUGUUCUCCCCCUGUCGUCCUCCUCCUCCUCCUCUCCACCUGCUCUCCUCCCUCUCUCCCCCUGUCCUCUUCCUGCUCUCCUCCUGUCCUCCUCUCCCCCUGUCCUCCUCCUCUCCCCCUCUCCUCAACCUGCUCUCCUCCCUCUCUCCUCCUGCUCUCCUCCUCUUCUCCUCCUGUUUUCCACCUGUCCUCCUCCUCUCCCCCUGUCCUCCUCCUCUUCUCCUCCUCCUGUCCUCCUCUUCUCCUCCUCCUCCUCUCCUGGCCUCCUCUCCUCCACCUGUUCUCCCCCUGUCCUCCUCCUCUCCCCCUCUCCUCAACCUGCUCUCCUCCCUCUCUCCUCCUGCUCUCCUCCUCUUCUCCUCCUGUUUUCCACCUGUCCUCCUCCUCUCCCCCUGUCCUCCUCCUCUUCUCGUCCUCCUGUCCUCCUCUUCUCCUCCUCCUCCUCUCCUUGCCUCCUCUCCUCCACCUGUUCUCCCCCUGUCCUCCUCCUCUUCUCCUCCUCCUCCUCUCCUCCUGUCCUCUCCUGGUUUCUCCGCCUCUCCCCCUCUCCUCCUCUUGCUCUCCACCUGUUCUCCUCCUGUCCUCCUGCUCUCCUCUUCUCCUCCUCCUGUUUUCCUCCUUCUCUCCUCCACCUGUCCUCCUCCUCUCCUCCUCCUCCUCUUCUCCUCCUGUCCUCUCCUGGUUUCUCCCCCUCUCCUCCUGUUCUCCUCUUCUCCUCCUCCUCCUCCUCUCCUCCUGUCCUCUCCCGGUUUCUGCGCCUCCUGCCGUUCAUCCGGUCGGUCUCCGUGCCAACAGGAAGCGGAUCAGUCGCCGUCUCCGGCCGCAGCAUAUGCUGCAGCGCCGCGGCAUCAUCAGAGACUCUGCAGGGCGGCGGUGAAGGUCACAUGAGUUACAGCCUUUCGUCUGAUUGGCUGAGAGUCCGUCACGUGAUCAGAGCAGCAGCUGAAGGUGUUUGA